UUUGAGGUUUCAGAGGCUUAAACUGGGCCCAGUGUCUCUCUUUCUUCCUGCUGCCUGAGGAUCCAGAUUCAGAUGUACAACUCUUGGCUCCUUCUCCAGCACCAUGUCUGUUUGCAAACGGCCAUGCUUCCUGCCAUAAUGACAAUGGUUUGAACCUCGGAACUAUGAAUAUGAGAAUCAGGCUGAUUAAACUCAAUGUCCACCACCCUUGAAAAGCAAAGCACAGUGCAUGAGUACAGAUAUGAGCUCUGGCUUGGAUUCUGCUGUCAUUGUAUACGGUGACCUGGUGCCCAAGAAUUAACCUCUCCACAUCUUUGCUUCCUAUUAUAUACCAGAGAUCACACCAUAAUUUGCUUAGACUAGGAGCUUUGACAUCUCUGAUUCAAUGAUGCCAGCCUUGGCCGUAUGAUAGUCAAUGAAAUGUCAAUGGCAUUAGUUACAUCCAAGCAUAAGCUUUAAGAGCCAGCCCUCAGCUAUGUAAUGUCUCUUCUUUUGCCUCAACACUAACACAUCCCUGACCAGAGCUGCUGUUUCAGUGUGGGUCAAGGAAUAAAGAUGAAUACAACAUCUGCGAAGCGGAUGAUAUGGAUGAAUUUGGAGGAGAGCAAACUGCCAGAGUCAUGCACAGAAAAUAUGAUCACAGACCAGAUGGAUGAGACAACAGUGAUUGGGGAAGGAGAGGGCAGAUUUGGCUAGGUUUCAGAACAAGCAAUUCUGACAUGGCUACCAGAGGAAUUGUGGAGAGAGGAGAGCAAGAUGGGAAACGUGAGCCUCAGAGAGGCAGGAUAACCUGUCUGAUGCCACACAGCUGGUAGUAAUGGAAGAGUGGUUCAAAUUCACAUCUCCCAGACUCCAAUACAUCUUUUAUUUCGCCUGACAGAUCUUACGUGCUAGCGCUGUGCAUGAUUCUGCUGAUUGACUAUGGCUGCAAUGAUAUACCCUAGCCUUCAGGAGACAUUGUCAAUUUCCAUUAGUUCUCUAGGAGCUCAGUCAGGUUACCAAGGGAACAAGCUCCAGCCAAUCUGCCAGAACCUGAAUGUUACAUGGAAUACAGGAGGGAUCCAGUAAAUACUCAGAAUGUCACCUGAUUGAAAUCCACAAAUCUAUGCUUCUUUCUCCUUGGAACCCUUGCAGCUCAUCACUACCCUUUUCAUCACUCAUGGACAUGAAGCAAGCAUGUAGACCUCUCAACACCAACCUCUUUCCUGCAAGAAUUGCCCCCUGAUUGUGAGAGAGAUUAUUCGUGGGGAAUUGGCACGGUGGCUCUAUAACUUUCUUUUGUUCUUCACCAGUGAUCUGGAAGGUUUCCAGAGAAAAGUCUCUUUCUUUCCACCUCGGUGAAUUCAAGCAGGGUUGUUGCUGCCCUUCUUGCCUGGAAGACAUUGUCACAGAAUUUUGGAAGAGUCCUGCUUGCUCCACCACAAGGCAACUUCUCUCAUUCAUACUUGUGUUUCCUGUGAGAACCAGUGCAAUGGGGGGGGGGUUAUUCCCUGAGGGGGGCUUUAUCAAUAUCUCUUCCAAUAUUUAUAUGAUGGCUGGCAGAUGCAAUGUUGAGCAGCCCAGGUUUCUUGCACAUUGUAGUGUGGCCACGAUGCCCUGUGACUAACUUGUACAAGUUCAGGGUGAAGUCAAGCUGCCUCCAAAGGCGCCCAUGUUCCUAGGAUAUGUGAGACCUCUGCCCCUUGUUUUUCUGUUGUUUGUGGUGCUGAGGAUUGAACUCAGGGACUUGGGAAUGCUAGACAGUGCUCAGGGCUGUGCCACAGAGCUGCAUCCCCAGCUCUGUGGGAGAGCAGUCUUAAUGGCAAAUAAUUCCACACAGUGAGCAGUGCAAUGGCUUUGCACAUUUUUAUAGAGACAGCAAGAUGUUUUGUGUACUACAGUGAUGGUUGCAAAGUAGCUUUGGGGUGACUGGUUUAGUGUUAUCUCAAGUAAUUUAAUUUCUUUAAAUGAGUCUUUUUACCCUAAGCCUCCAUAUUAGCAUGCCAAAGGUGGAUAACCACUGGUCCUGAUUCAUUGUCCCAUGAUUACUGAUGUAACCAUUCAUUCAUAAGUAUUUGUCACACCUCUGCAACCUAAUAGAGGCAAACUAUACACACAAACCGGAGCUCUCAACCGUGAGGAACUCACAGUCUGCUGAGGGAGUCAGGAGUUCUACACACAAUGUCCUAUGCUGGUUUUAAAACAUGCACCGUGAGCUCUGAGUGCCCAGAUGGAGGAUAGGAGAGGUCUCAAUUCAAACUGAAUAGAGGGUUUCAAGAUAUUCACUGGAAAGGGUUUCUCAGGGUCGAAGUGACUGGAGAGGAGGUAGGGAGAUGAAGUGAGAGGAGGUGAUGGAUUCCUGCCCUCAUCCUCUCCACUUGUCAGUUAAGCUUCAAAGUUGUCCAGGUUCUGCCACCUGUCAACUAAAAUUUAACUGAGAGAAAUCUCUCAUCAAGAGGUUAAUUGUGGCACAGAGUCUCAUUUCCGAGGCUGGGGCGACCCAGCACCGGUGCAGACUGUUUCCUUUCCAGCAUCUGGAGUGUACUGCCUGUUAGAAAAAUACAGAUAUUUGCAAUUGUGUCAUUUCUAGUCCCUAGCUUCUUCCUUCACAGGGGCUCUCUCUGUAUUUAAAAUCUCUUGGCUUUUCAGAGCUUGUCCAGAUGGACCCAGAGCACCUCCAUCUCCCUUGGGCCCUCAUCUCCCUGGCACACCAGGCCCAAGCUGAAGAGCCUUCAUCCAGCAGCUGAUGGAAGCAGAAGCAGACACUCACAGCUAAACACUGAACUGAACUCCUGAAAUCCAGUUGCAGAGAGAGAGAGAGAGCAGUGAUGAGCAAAGGGGUCAAGACCAGGCUGGAGAAACUCACAGAAACAGCUGACCUGAACAAGGUGGGGGGCUCCUGGACUACAGACUGAUAGCUGGGAAACCAGCAUAGGACUGAUCUAGACCCCAUGAAUGUGGGUGUUUUGAGGUCUAGACAACCUAGGGGGCCACUGGUAGUGGAUCAGUAUUUACCCCUAGUACAUGAAUGAACUUUGGGAGCCUUCUCCACAUAGAGGGCUAGACACAUGGGAGAGGGUCUAGGCCCUGCUCCAAAUGGUGACAGACUUUGAAGAUCCCCCAUGGAAUGCCUCACCCUCCCUGGGGAGCAGAAAGGGAGUGGGAUAGGGGGUCGGUUUGGGGGAGCAGGAGAGGAGGGGAAGGAGAGGGAACUGGGAUUGACAUGUAAAACAAGCUUGUUUCUAAUUUCAAUUUUAAAAAAGAAAGAGAAAAAAAUUGCCCUCUUUCCUGCUGUCAGUCAUUUAUUUAUAUUCUCAAGAUUCUGUGUCCUUAAAACUUGCUCUGCUUGUUGGUUUCAGGUGACUCAUCCUUGCCCAGGGCAGACUCUGCUCCUGCCCCAGUCACCUGUCAGCCCACUAAUUGAUACAUUAUUCUUUUUCCCAUGGAUAGUUGUUGAAUUUGAGUCUUAUGCUUAUAUCUUUUUUCACAUUUUUAAAGAGCUUAAUUGUAUGUGGAUGAGUGCUUUGCCUGCAUGUGUGCUUGUAUGUAUGUGCACCACAUAUGUGCCUGCUGCCCAUGCAGGUCAGAAGACGGAGUAAGACCCCCUGGAACUCGAGUUAUAAGCAACCAUGGGGGUGCUAGGAACUGAAUGUAUACUGAGCCAUCUCUCCAGCCCAGCGUUGGUAUUUUUUUGUUUGUUUUCUUCAUUUAG
ensembl:lncRNA